AUUUGUCACCUUAUUCCCGGAGUCGAAGCGGGAAAGGUGACAGCGGUUCAUUCAAGGUGAGUGACCGAAUGAACACAUCUGUCAAAAUGGUCGAAUUUGUUCAGUGCUGUUUUGAUUUUGUCACACUUCGGAUUUUCAAAAAUUAAUUUCAAAAUUAUUAGUUCGAAUUUUGGUAAAAGAAAGGCGGCAAUCGGAUUUUAUAGUGCCAGCAAGCUGCUCAAGGAAAAAAAAAACGAUCAAUUUUUACGUCUUAGGAUAAAAUUUCGGCGGUCACAACUGAGCCUAACAAGCUAGAAAUUGGAUGGUACAAAAGCACCGAAUUGUAUGAAAAACAACGAAUGCAGAAGUCAUCGGCUAUUUCCUGCCAACCGGUGCCCAGGAGGAUUUAAGUUCAAAACAUUUUUACCAACUUUAGCAGCAUAAUUUUUUGGAAUAACGCUGCUGGGAGGAACCUUUCAACUAAAUUCCAGUUCCUGAAUAGGAAAAUCUUGAACGCUUAAGCCCAUCGUCAAAUUGUGUACGUGCGAUUUGAAAAAGCUGCUGGAAAAGAAAAACAGGUUUGUGCAUCGAGCCGUGGAUUGUGGUUUCCAUGCAGGUCUGGGACUUUUGUGCUAGCCAAAAGGACAGGAGUUUUUUGGAAUUUGAUGGACGAUUCCCGUUAAUUAUACGGAUAUGCUAAAGGUACCGACAAUUCUCACCUAAAAUCGUCACCUGAAUGCGACGAUUCUCACCCACGGUGACUACGAGAAUAGGGUAAGAACUCACAAAGUUCAUCCGAAGUGACGUUCCUCACCUAAACCGACUACUGGAAUAGAGU